rnacentral:rRNA from 1 species
AGUGAACGCUGGCGGUAGGCCUAACACAUGCAAGUCGAACGGCAGCACAGUAAGAGCUUGCUCUUACGGGUGGCGAGUGGCGGACGGGUGAGGAAUACAUCGGAAUCUACUUUUUCGUGGGGGAUAACGUAGGGAAACUUACGCUAAUACCGCAUACGACCUACGGGUGAAAGCAGGGGAUCUUCGGACCUUGCGCGAUUGAAUGAGCCGAUGUCGGAUUAGCUAGUUGGCGGGGUAAAGGCCCACCAAGGCGACGAUCCUUGGCUGGUCUGAGAGGAUGAUCAGCAAACCUGGAAUUGAGCCACGGUCCAAACUCCUACGGGAGGCAGCAGUGGGGAAUAUUGGACAAUGGGGGCAAGCCUGAUCCAGCCAUACCGCGUGGGUAAAGAAGGCCUUCGGUUUGUAAAGCCCUUUUGUUGGGAAAGAAAAGCAGCAGGUUAAUACCCCGCUGUUCUGACGGUACCCAAAGAAUAAGCACCGGCUAACUUCGUG